AUGAUACCAUCCAUCAAGCAAUCAAACCGGCCAGCGACAAGCGGAACAGGUUUGGAAUCGUCGGUCUUGGUCCCUAACCGAAGGGAGCAAAGGAGAUCAGUUGAUCUUGGAAGCUCGAUGAGAGGACGGCGCUCCUCUUCUUCUCUUAACGAUGAGAUUAACACACUUCAAAUGGAAAAUGAUAGCAUGUACGAAAAGCUUGAAGAGGAUAGAUCCGAUGAAGCAGAUGUCAGACAGGCGGGUGAUGCCAUAGAACCGGAGGUCAAUUUCAUUAGCAGAAAGGCUGCAGCACUAGAACAGAGAAGGGCUUCAAUGAGAAUUGGUUCAAGAAGGGGUAACAGUGCAAGCUGUGAUGAGAUUACAGCCCUUCGAUCAGAAGCGAAGGUCACUGGUGAGAUGGCCACAUCUGUAUCUCGGCGUGUAGGUACUGGAUCAGAACUGAGAUCUCUUCAUGCAACAUCCAACAGAAUGAUCCUGUCACAAGAAGAAAUGGAGGAGGUGGUGCUAAAGAGGUGUUGGCUCGCCCGCUACUGGAAACUAUCUGUUAGACUUGGGAUACAUUCUGAUAUCGCUGAACAAAAACUAGAACACUGGUCCUCGGUUGCACCACUUGCACUUGAAGUCGUCCUAUCAAUUGGGCAAAAAGCUAGAGAUGGAAGUUUAUCAGAUAAUGAUGUAAAUGAUACGGCUGGAGACGGAAAUAUUGAGAGCAUGCUUUUAGUUGAGAAAGGACUUCGUGAAUUAGCUUCGCUCAAGGUAGAAGAUGCAAUCAUGCUGGCUUUAGCAGAACAUCGACGAUACAGACCUCUCUCAGGUCCGGUUUUUCCUGCUGAUAGUCAUAGUUCUCCAGAGUCAACUGAUUUAAGUGAGGACGAGCGAGAAGAUGUACGCUUCAAGCAGGCAUGGUUGACCUACUUUUGGAGGCGGGCCAAAAACCAUGAUGUAGAGGAAGAUAUAGCUGACGACCGGCUACAAUUUUGGAUAGAGCAAGGCAACCAUCCAGUCACUACAAGUGAUGUCGUUGAAGUUGAUAGAGGACUUCAUGAGCUGAAGAAACUGGGGAUCGAGUCUCAGUUGUGGGAAGCCACAAGGAGAUCUUUCGACGAUGAAUCCAUUAAUCAUGGAAGUCCAUUUGGAUCUGAAGUGUAG
rnacentral:rRNA from 1 species